rnacentral:rRNA from 1 species
CCCUUAGAUGUUCUGGGCGGCCCGCGCACUACACUGGCACUCUCAAUCAGAGCCUGGAUCUAACACUUUGGGGUAUUCUAUGAAGUGGUGUCGUGACUGGGAUUAACCCUUGCAAUUAUUGGUUACGAACGAGGAAUUCCUUGUAAUCGCGGUUUAUCAGCCCGCGUUGAAUGCGUCCCUGCCCUUUGUACACACCGCCCGUCGCUCCUACCGAUUGAACGGUUUAGUGAGGGCCUCGGAUUGGUCUCGGCCCGCUCUUUACCGGGCGGCGCCGUUGGUCGAGAAGACGCUCGAACUUGAUCGUUUAGAGGAAGUAAAAGUCGUAACA